AUUGAACGCUGGCGGCAGGCCUAACACAUGCAAGUCGAGCGGUAACAUUUCUAGCUUGCUAGAAGAUGACGAGUGGCGGACGGGUGAGUAACGCGUAGAAAUCUACCUAGUAGUGGGGGAUAGCCCAGAGAAAUUUGGAUUAAUACCGCAUACGCCCUACGGGGGAAAGCGGGGGAUCUUCGGACCUCGUGCUAUUAGAUGAGUCUGCGUCGGAUUAGCUUGUUGGUGAGGUAAUGGCUCACCAAGGCGACGAUCCGUAGCUGGUCUGAGAGGAUGACCAGCCACACUGGAACUGAGACACGGUCCAGACUCCUACGGGAGGCAGCAGUGGGGAAUAUUGCACAAUGGGCGCAAGCCUGAUGCAGCCAUGCCGCGUGAGUGAUGAAGGCCUUAGGGUCGUAAAGCUCUUUCGCCAGAGAUGAUAAUGACAGUAUCUGGUAAAGAAGUCCCGGCUAACUCCGUG
rnacentral:rRNA from 1 species